rnacentral:rRNA from 1 species
CCAAUAGCGUAUAUUAAAGUUGUUGCAGUUAAAAAGCUCGUAGUUGAAUUUCGGGGUCAGCAGGUUGGUCGUGCCACUGGUAUGUACUGGCUUUGCUGAUUCCUCCUUCUUGUAGAACCGUAAUGCCAUUAAUUUGGUGUUGCGGGGAAACAGGACUGUUACUUUGAAAAAAUUAGAGUGUUUAAAGCAGGCUAACGCUUGAAUACAUUAGCAUGGAAUAAUGAAAUAGGACGAGCGAUCCUAUUUUGUUGGUUUCUAGGAUUGACGUAAUGAUUAAUAGGGAUAGUUGGGGGCAUUAGUAUUCAAUUGUCAGAGGUGAAAUUCUUGGAUUUAUUGAAGACUAACUACUGCGAAAGCAUUUGCCAAGGAUGUUUUCAUUAAUCAAGAACGAAAGUUAGGGGAUCGAAGACGAUCAGAUACCGUCGUAGUCUUAACCAUAAACUAUGCCGACUAGGGAUCGGAUGAUGUUAAUUUUAUAAUGACUCAUUCGGCGCCUUACG